UGUCACGGAAACAAAAUCUUUUAAUUUAACUAUCGUUGAUAUCUUUAUUUGAUUUAUUCUUCCACUUUUUUGUCAGCCUUAAUUCGAAGAGACAACAAAACCGAACUUAAUAAAAAAAUUGAAAUAACCUCCAUGAGAUAAUGGGCAUCUAGUUUAUCUUUUUUAAAUCGGUCACAGUUGCCAUGGAAACAGUAACAUUGUGAAACUGAAAUACGUUCAAACUGUAAUGACACUUAACAGAAACGUGACAUGUCAUGAAUAAAAUCAUGUGCAGUUUAAGGGCUUGAAAGUUUCGAAAUAGCUGCUGUUACCAUAUGACCGAAAUGGCAUCUGCUAUUGCUUGCAAUUGCACAUUUAAUUGCUAUUCCUAUCUUUUAUAAUCAAUAAAUAUUUCAAUAACACCUUAUACUCUUUUGAACGUAUCUUUUGACCGAAUGUUCAGUGGGUAUCUAUGAUGAGUUUAUGUAUAUUCAAAUAAAAUGUUG
rnacentral:lncRNA from 1 species